rnacentral:rRNA from 1 species
UACAGAGGAGCCAAGCGUUGUCCGGAUUGACUGGGCGUAAAGCGCACGCAGGCGGAUGCGCGCGUGGGGUGUGAAAUCUGGCCGCUUAACGGCCAGGCGCCAUCCCAUACGGCGCGUCUGGAGUGAUGCAGAGGUCGAUGGAAUUGCCGGUGUAGUGGUGAAAUGCGUAGAGAUCGGCAGGAACACCCAGGGGGAAACCAGUCGACUGGGCAUCUACUGACGCUGAGGUGCGAGAGCGUGGGGAGUGAACCGG